UACGUAGGGGGCAAGCGUUGUCCGGAUUUAUUGGGCGUAAAGAGCGUGUAGGCGGCCUGGUAGGUCAGCUGUGAAAACUCGAGGCUCAACCUCGAGACGCCGGUUGAAACCAUCAGGCUAGAGUCCGGAAGAGGAGAGUGGAAUUCCCGGUGUAGCGGUGAAAUGCGCAGAUAUCGGGAAGAACACCCGUGGCUAAGGCGGCUCUCUAGUACGGUACUAACGCUGAGACGCGAAAGCGUGGGGAGCGAACAGG
rnacentral:rRNA from 1 species